CGUUUCUUGGUGUUAUCGUUGUCGCCGUCGGUCGAGGAGGGAGCAGGAGGAGUCGCCGGUGGUGCUGUUGUUGGCAGUCGUAGCUUGCAGCGAUGGCGGACGCCGGUGGUGACUGUCGGCGAGAGUAGCGUCUGGGCAGGAGAGGUCGGCGGCAAGUCGAGCAAAAAAGGCUAGGGUUGAACAGGUGGUUGCGUGUUUGUUCAGAUCCCUCAUUGAUGAUGACGAUUUCGUUGAAGGUCAUGAUCCUUCCUUAUAAAGGAACAAGCAGGAGCCAUCAUCGGAUGUCCGAGAUACUGUUCUAACAUAUGGAAUAAUGUAAUUGUGUACAUGGAGAAAUAUAGAUAAUUAUUCUUCCACUCAACCCACUGCAGUGAAAUAUGGGGAUACCCUAGAGAAUUUGUUUGAAAUUGUUGCAUGAAUAUUUCAAGUCGGUGGGUGAGGGGUUCAAGCCCGACACGUGCCUUAGUUUGGAGACCAAAAGGAUGCCGAUGAAGUGGUAGGAUACCAAGAAUAAGGUGCACUGUGGGGUGUAUGUUAUGCGGCACAUGGAGAGCUAUGCCAGGGAAGGUGUUGGAAGCUGAGAGUGUGGUCUAGUUUUUAGAAUUAUGAAUAUAAGCUUAUGUGAAAAUCUCGUGAUUAACCAUGUAUCUGGGUAUUGUGUGUCUAUAUUGUGUGCCAUGGUUGCAUAUGUUGUGUGCACCAUCAUAUUGUGUACAAUUACUAUAUGGCACACAUUUUCUUUGGUA